CUGUGGUUUACUAAUCUUCAUUGCUCUCUAUUUUCCAAUUCUUUGGGUCACUGCUGUUCAAAAGAAAUUUAAUGUGAACCACAUACGUAAUUAAAAAUUUCAUAGUAGCCAUACUAAAAAAGUAAAAAGAAAAAGAUGAAAUUAAUUUUAAUAAUAUAUUAUUUAAUCCCAUAUAGCCAAAAUAUUAUCAUUUCAACAUGUAAUCAGUAUACAAAUGGAAAUAUUUUACUUUUUUUUUGGUACCAAGUCUUAAAAAUUAAGAGCAUAAUUUAUGUUUCCAACACAUCUCAGUUGAAAGCAGCUGAACACUUCAAGAGUUCAGUCAUCACUUGAGGCUGACUACCAAAUUAGAAAAUACAGUGUUAGAUGCUUCCCUCACCUACAGAGCCCUUCUAGCAAUGGUUCUGAAAAUGUGGUCCCAGAAACAGCAGCAUCAGCCUCACCUGGGAAUUCCUCAGGAGUGCAAAUCUCAGGCCCCACUCCAGACCUACAGAAUCAGAAACUCUGUGGGUGGGGUCCAGCAGGCUAUGUUUUAAUGAGCCCUCCAGGUAGUUCUGAUGCACACUAAUGUUUUAAAAUCAUUGCCCUACUGUCACCUUAAUUUGCAACUCUGGCUUGUAUGCUGCUAAUCAUGAUUAAUAGGCAAAACCAAGUCCAAAUGACAAAAGUGCCCUUGGCUGAAAUGUUUUUCAUUUGGCUCUUCUGAGGCAUCAAAACCUAAAGUCAGUAUGACAGACUCCUAAAAUAUAGCUUGAGAAUUAUUCAUUAGAUUGUGUAUUUCUUUCAGACACUUAGGACUAGUGUAGUUUAGGGGUGCCCAACAGGAUGUUAUCCAGUAAAAUACCCCUUGCACUUAUUCAUAAAUGUCUGGAAUUUCUCUAAGGGGGAACUGGGUUGACAGUACCCACUUCUACACCUCCAAGAUCUGCCGGAGGGAGGAAACAGAUACACUGACUCAGGUAAAAGCCAGACUAACACAGUAGAAGAGCAUGGUGAUGGAAACUGAAAGAUCUGAAUCAGUAAAUGAAUUUAUCUCUUAUGAGCUGUGAUGUCUUUAGCUUUCCUCUUAACCUGUGACUCAUUUUCUUCAUCUGGAGAAUGAUAAUGACAACAAAGAAGUAAAAAAAAAAAGAAAAAAAUUCCUGUCAGUGUCACAACAUUGUUGGGAACCUCAUGAGAUUGUGUAUAUGGAGCUGUCAUAAGAUCCUGAAAAUUUGAGACUUUUGUUAGUGUUAUUAAAUGUAUACGACGGUAUAAAUGACUAAUUUCCCCCCUACAAGCAAAUCUGGAUAAGGAGAAUUGGGAAGCUGCACUGGGUGCUGGAAGUGGAAGAAGCUAAUGUACCAAAAAAGAGGCAGAGAGGGUCAGAGAGGGAGGCAGGUGGCACUGCUGACAAGCUGCUUGGACUGGACGGUUCUCCAGCUCUGACCAUUCUCUCGAAUACCUACAUAAUUUUAAAAUAUGAAUUACAAUGAAACCACACCACUGAUUGUAACAAAAAGUUUAGACCCUUCUAUCUUGCUAUUAUUUACCAUUCCAUUCGCUUCUAUGUGGGACUACUUGUAUUUUCUAACUAAACAGCCUGUGAUAAGCGGCAUGAAUGCUGGGCCAAUAAAAGGUAACAGCACUUUGCCAACUGAAAAAUACAAUGAGAUCCUGGUGACUGCUGCUUCCUGUGAAAACUUCAUUAGCAAUAAAUGGGUUACCAGAUGUCACACGUCAGAUUUGAAAUUAAAAUAUAUUCCCAGUAUUUGUGUGCAGUCUGAGCGGCAGGGAAAAAAAAAAAAGAAGCCUUUCCAAGAGAGCUGCAUAAGAUGCUGCACCACUUUUGCCUUCGAUUGUCUGUUUCUCCUCUAAAUGUAAAAUAAAAUGCAUCCCUUGGUUUGUAAAGUGGAAAUACAGCAUUUCUGCAUAGAAGGGCUAUGUAGUGAAGUGGCAUAUUACUCAUGCAGCAGCAACUCUUUAAGAACAAGGAAAUAUUUUUGAACAUUCUCUGCCACACCAAGACCACCAUCUCCUCUUGUUUUUAACUUUGCCAAAGCAAUUUCUCCUUUUCUUGCCUCCGCUUUCAGCAAGCAGUCUCUGCUUUUAAUUUUUUUUUUAAUUUUUAUUUAUUUAUGAUAGUCACAGAGAGAGAGAGAGAGAGGCAGAGACAUAGACAGAGGGAGAAGCAGGCUCCAUGCACCGGGAGCCCGAUGUGGGAUUUGAUCCCAGGUCUCCAGGAUCGCACCCUGGGCCAAAGGCAGGCGCCAAACCGCUGCGCCACCCAGGGAUCCCCAGUCUCUGCUUUUAUUACUGACAACAAAACUGCUCAAGUCAGCAACUGUCAACGUUGACUCCACUCUUCCCAAACCUGCUGUAACAACAGCACUUCCUUCUCUUCAUGAGAGUAAAAGUCUUCUUGUUCUUCCAGCUAGCUAAGUCGACUCUGUUCUUGUCCUCAAAGUUACAAGCCUCCAAUCAGAAAUCAACUGUAGUUAGGGAGGGAAUCCCAGUCCCAAAUAAGACAGCACAGUUGCACUUGAGCCAGCAGAAUUUUCAAAUGCUAAGCCAGUGUGAUAGAAAUAUCUAACAUCCUCGAGUUUUUAUAAGCAAAUAUUUUUGGCUAAAGAA
rnacentral:lncRNA from 1 species